UGUCCCCUCUCAAAGCUAUUAUUUACCAUGUUCACCGUGUAAAUACACUUGUGCCAUCACUACAUUUACAGUAGCACAGACAGGAAACUGUUUGAUAUUAAGUUGUUGGUUUUCCGGGGGAAGUCACACAGAAAUUUCCUAUUUUACACACGGAGAAAAAAACUACUUCCACAUCCGGUUAAGUUGCAUUCUGUAAGCGUGCGCCAUCAAACCGCUCACCGGAGACCCAACUGAUUAUAUUCUUUAACCUUUGUCCUUUUUUUGCUGAUCUUUUACAAUGUAAAUGCUAGGAAAAUACCGGUCUUCUCCUUCCACAGGACGGCAGAGAGGCUACUUACCGUAUCCAGCAGGACAAAGCUCUAUAUCGCACAGCUGGGCCAGUCAAGGUGUGGUUGGAGGACCACCAGAUCAAGACCUUGUCAUGGUCAGCCAAAUCUCCAGACCUAAACCCCACUGAAAACCUCUGGAUCAAGAGGAAGAUGAAAGGUCAGAAACCAUCCAAAAAAGCAGAGCUGCUUGAAUUCUUGUGCAAGGAAUGGCAUAAAGUCAUUUUCUACAAAUAAAUGCUCUAAUACAGUAAAUGCUCUAAGACAAUAUUUGUAUUUUGAAUUUAUUUCUAAGUUUAUCGAAUAAAACAAAAUUUUAUUCCGUUUUUUUAAAGGAGAAAUAAAAUGUCUUCCAAAAGCUCCACAAUUUAUUGCCAAGAAGCAUUGUUAUAAAUAAUCAGCUAAACACAUUUUUCUUUAUUCUUUGCUGUUUAAUAUGUGCAUUUCCUAGACGACCAAAGCAUACCUGAACUAAACUUAAAAUGUCAUGUUGAUUAUUUCUUCUUUUUCAUUUUACAGUUUACAGUGGUGUCUUAUUUCUAACUAUGUAAAUAAACUUUUUGACUUGCUAUAAUAAAAACAUCUUCAAUA